AGAGUUUGAUCCUGGCUCAGGAUGAACGCUGGCGGUAUGCCUAACACAUGCAAGUCGAACGAUGUCUUCGGACAUAGUGGCGGACGGGUGAGUAACGCGUGAGAAUCUGCCUCUAGGAUGGGGAUAACGGUUGGAAACGACCGCUAACACCCAAUAUGCCGUAAGGUGAAAAAUUUAUUGCCUGGAGAGGAGCUCGCGUCUGAUUAGCUAGUUGGUGGGGUAAGAGCUCACCAAGGCUUCGAUCAGUAGCUGGUCUGAGAGGAUGAGCAGCCACACUGGGACUGAGACACGGCCCAGACUCCUACGGGAGGCAGCAGUGGGGAAUUUUCCGCAAUGGGCGAAAGCCUGACGGAGCAAUACCGCGUGAGGGAGGAAUGCCUUUGGGUUGUAAACCUCUUUUCUCAGGGAAGAAGAUCUGACGGUACCUGAGGAAUAAGUAUCGGCUAACUCCGUGCCAGCAGCCGCGGUAAUACGGAGGAUGCAAGCGUUAUCCGGAAUCAUUGGGCGUAAAGCGUCCGCAGGUGGUUUCCAAAGUCUGCUGUUAAAGACUGGAGCUCAACUCCGGAACGGCGGUGGAAACUUGGAAACUAGAGUUCGGUAGGGGUAGCAGGAAUUCCCAGUGUAGCGGUGAAAUGCGUAGAUAUUGGGAAGAACAUCGGUGGCGAAGGCGUGCUACUGGACCGUAACUGACACUCAGGGACGAAAGCUAGGGGAGCGAAAGGGAUUAGAUACCCCUGUAGUCCUAGCUGUAAACGAUGGAAACUANGUGUGGCUUGUAUCGACCCGAGCCGUGCCGUANCUAACGCGUUAAGUUUCCCGCCUGGGGAGUA
rnacentral:rRNA from 1 species